GUUCCUGGGAGCUGUGUGGAGCUGGGCACUGAAACUGCAGAAAAACAAAGUUAAGAAGACAGCAAGACUGGACCAUGCUCUGGAUCUCCAGCAGCCUUUGGCAGAAAGGAAAAGGAGACUUCCUCCAGCCUCAGACAGCCAUUCCAAAGUACAAGAAGGAGGUCCUGGAACUGCCGAGCUGUCCCAGCUGUGCUGUGCUCAGAUUAUCCUGAGGUUUUGGAGAAGCACUGGGAUGCACAAAAGCUGCCACUCAAUGAGACAUGUGGAAGAUGCUGCACUCCAAAAAAAGAUGAUCAAGGCUGUGACAACCUGGAGAGACAGAAACCAGGGCACUGAAUGACUGCUCCUUGCUUUUCCAGGUAUUGUAGCGGAUUGACAAGUAGACGCUUUUGAUGCUAAUGAAAGUCUUUAUACAGCACUGAUGGGAAAGAGUGCUUAUUAAGAUUGCAGGGUAGCAACUGAAGAACUUUGUUAAGCUCCAUCCAAGAGCCUGUGUCUAAGAGCAAAGCAGC